CAUUGUUGUCUGCAGUUAAAAGCAUUCUUUCCUUUGAUUUUGGUGAAAAAUGCUAUUCUUGUUACAGAGCUUCUGAUCAACAACCAAUUCCAUUGCUGUUGCCAAGACAGGAUUAUCUACAGUCAUUAAUUUGUGGAAACUUGCGAGCAACGAACCCGCCAACAUAUGGCAUCUUCCCAUGUUUGUUCUUCAACUUCCUGGUCUUUGAAGACAUCACUUUGACCAUCCUUAUUAAAUACUGGUAAACGAAAUCAUCACGAGAAGUCAUCCUGAAGUUUGGUCCAUCGACAAAUACUCUCGAGGAAUUAACUAAAGGCUAAGUAAUGAGUUUUAAGUCAAGGU